GACGAACGCUGGCGGCGUGCUUAACACAUGCCAGUCGAACGGAAAGGCCCUGCUUUUGUGGGGUGCUCGAGUGGCGAACGGGUGAGUAACACGUGAGUAACCUGCCCUUGACUUUGGGAUAACUUCAGGAAACUGGGGCUAAUACCGGAUAGGAGCUCCUGCUGCAUGGUGGGGGGUGGAAAGUUUCGGCGGUUGGGGAUGGACUGGCGGCUUAUCAGCUUGUUGGUGGGGUAGUGGCUUACCAAGGCUUUGACGGGUAGCCGGCCUGGGAGGGUGGCCGGCGACAUUGGGACUGAGAUACGGACCAGACUCCUACGGGAGGCAGCAGUGGGGAAUCUGGCACAAUGGGCGGAAGCCUGAUGCAGCAACGCCGCGUGCGGGAUGACGGCCUUCGGGUUGUAAAACGCUUUCGCCUGUGACGAAGCGUGAGUGACGGUAAUGGGUAAAGAAGCACCGGCUAACUACGUG
rnacentral:rRNA from 1 species